rnacentral:rRNA from 1 species
UACGUAGGGGGCAAGCGUUGUCCGGAAUCAUUGGGCGUAAAGCGCGUGUAGGCGGCCCGAUAAGUCCGCUGUGAAAGUCCAGGGCUCAACCCUGGGAUGCCGGUGGAUACUGUCGGGCUCGAGUCCGGAAGAGGCGAGUGGAAUUCCUGGUGUAGCGGUGAAAUGCGCAGAUAUCAGGAGGAACACCAAUAGCGAAGGCAGCUCGCUGGGACGGUAUUGACGCUAAGGCGCGAAAGCGUGGGGAGCAAACAGG